GAUGAACGCUAGCUACAGGCUUAACACAUGCAAGUCGAGGGGAAACGACAUCGAAAGCUUGCUUUUGAUGGGCGUCGACCGGCGCACGGGUGAGUAACGCGUAUCCAACCUGCCCAUCACUUGGGGAUAACCUUGCGAAAGUAAGACUAAUACCCAAUGAUAUCUCUAGAAGACAUCUGAAAGAGAUUAAAGAUUUAUCGGUGAUGGAUGGGGAUGCGUCUGAUUAGCUUGUUGGCGGGGUAACGGCCCACCAAGGCAACGAUCAGUAGGGGUUCUGAGAGGAAGGUCCACCACAUUGGAACUGAGACACGGUCCAAACUCCUACGGGAGGCAGCAGUGAGGAAUAUUGGUCAAUGGGCGAGAGCCUGAACCAGCCAAGUAGCGUGCAGGAAGACGGCCCUAUGGGUUGUAAACUGCUUUUAUAAGGGAAUAAAGUGAGAGUCGUGACUCUUUUUGUAUGUACCUUAUGAAUAAGGACCGGCUAAUUCCGUG
rnacentral:rRNA from 1 species